rnacentral:rRNA from 1 species
CUGGUUGAUUCUGCCAGUGGUCAUAUGCUCGUCUCAAAGAUUAAGCCAUGCAUGUCUAAGUUCAUAUCAUAAAUAAAAGAUGAAACUGCGAAGGGCUCAGUAAAUCAGUUAUAGUCCGCUCGAUCAUAAAAACCAUGGAUAACUGUGGUAAAUCUAGAGCUAAUACAUGCAAUWCUCAGUGCGUUCGCGUACUGAGAGCAUUUAUUGGACUUAACCAACGGGAGCUUGCUCUCAGAGGUGAAUCUGGAUAACUGUGCACAUCGAACGGCCAAGAGCUGUCGACAAUUCGAUCGAAUUUCUGCCCUAUCAACUAGUUGGUAAGGUAGUGGCCUACCAAGGUUGUGACGGGUAACGGGGAAUCAGGGUUCGAUUCCGGAGAGGGAGCCUGAGAAACGGCUACCACAUCUAAGGAAGGCAGCAGGCGCGCAAAUUACCCAAUCCAGACACUGGGAGGUAGUGACGAGAAAUACCAAAGUGUGCCUUAUGGUUCACUAUUGGAAUGAACGUAAUAUAAUAACUUCGAAGAUUACCUACUGGAGGGCAAGUCUGGUGCCAGCAGCCGCGGUAAUUCCAGCUCCAGUAGUGUAUAUCAAAAUUGUUGCGGUUAAAACGCUCGUAGUUGGAUUACAAAAGUUUUGUGUCAACCAAGCAUUAGCUUGGGUGUCGCGGGGCUUUUUUAUCGCAAGAACCAGUUGUACGCUUUAUCGUGUAUAAUUGACCACUUGCGGAGCGUGCCUUGAAUAAAGCACAGUGCUCAAAGCAAGCGUAACGCUUGAAUGUUAAAGCAUGGAACGAAUAUACACUGAGUCGGUUCAGUUGUGUUGGUUCUGAGCCGGGUCCUGAUUAAAAGGGACAUUUGAGGGCGUUAGUACUUGGUGGCGAGAGGUGAAAUUCGUAGACCCACCARAGACUCACUAAUGCGAAAGCAUUCGCCAAGAAUGUUUUCAUUGAUCAAGAACGAAAGUUAGAGGUUCGAAGACGAUCAGAUACCGUCCUAGUUCUAUACAGUAAACUAUGCCACCACGGGAUCAGUCCGGAAGGCGAUCCAGGUUGGUCCCCCAAGGAAACUUGAAGUGUUCGGGUUCCGGGGGGAGUACAGUCGCAAGUCCGAAACUUAAAGGAAUUGACGGAAGGGCACCACCAGGAGUGGAGCCUGCGGCUUAAUUUGACUCAACACGGGACAACUCACCAGGUCCAGACAUUGAAAGGAUUGACAGACUGAUAGAUCUUUCAAGAUCCAAUGAUUGGUGGUGCAUGGCCGUUCUUAGUUGGUGGAGUGAUCUGUCAGGUCUAUUCCGGUAACGAGCGARACCACGAUCUCUAUUUGAUUGCGGCUAUACUUWUUAAUUAACGUUAAGACGUGUAGUAGCUGGUCAUAGAGAGACUACCGGAGUAUAAACCGGGGGAAGCGUGGCAAUAACAGGUCUGUGAUGCCCUUCGAUGUUCUGGGCCGCACGCGCGCUACAAUGGCAGUGACAACAAGUAUCUGCUUCGAAAGGAGUGGAAAAUCUUGGCAAUCGCUGUCGUGAYUGGGAUUGAGCCUUGUAAUAAUUGCUCAUGAAAGAGGAAUUCCUCGUAAGCGCGAGUCAUUAACUCGUGUUGAAUACGUCUCUGCCCUUUGUACACACCGCCCGUCGCUAGUACCG